rnacentral:tRNA from 1 species
GGCCCCGUGGUGUAGUGGCUAGCACGCGAGACUUUCACUCUCGUAGCGCGAGUUCGAUUCUCGUCGGGGCUA